ACUACCUAUCCUCUCUCAUAACACAUGACCCUAAUUUCCCACCAUUUCCACAAUAGUUUCCUUCACCUUGGCUACUCCCAUGUCACCAAUUCAAGACCAGUUUCUACCUCCAGUUUCGGUCCCUUAAAGUACAACACCUCUCUCCUACUCUAAUGUCCCAAUUUCCACACCAGCCCCGACCUCCGUUCUCCAAUAAAACUUCCCUUACCCUGUCCUACUCCUAUAUAAUUUCCAUUUCCCCUUUAAUCCUGCCUCUGUAUCAUCCAACCCUUCCCCUGUCUCUUUCGCUCAUGUCCUUUGUUUCCCUCCACUUUUCUUUUCUUUUUCUUCCCCUCUCCUGCUCCCAUGUCUCCUAUUUCUCAACCAGCUCCUGCUUUCCCCACUUGCUCCUACCUCCAUCCAACCACUGUACUUCCCUCAACCCCUCCGUGACGUAUCUACCCCGUUAUGUUUCCCAACCUGCACCUACGUCAGGCCUUCCACCGCUCUUCCCUUCUCUACAAAUACUCCCAUGUCCCCCUUUCCCCCCAUUUGCUCCUACGUCCAUCACACCAAUUACAUCCCUUACUGUCUCCUCCGAUGUCCUCCAUUUCCCCACCUGCUCCUAACCCCGUCUUAACAGUGUGCUUCCCUUCACCUCUCCUGCUUCAAUGAUCUCCAUUUCCCAACUUUCCCCUUCCUCCGUCCUACCAGUGUACUUUCCUUCACCUCUCCUCCAAUGUCCUCCAUUUCCCCACCUGCCCCAACCUAAGACCUACCAUUGUACUUCCCUUACCCUCUCCUCCUCCAAUGUCCUCCAUUUCCCCACCUGCCUCUACCCCCGUCCUAACAAUAAACUUCCCUGAACCUCUCCACCUCCAUUUCUCCGACUGCCCCUACCUCCGACCUACCAAUGUACUUCACUUCACCUCUCCACCUCCGAUGUCCUCAAUUUCCCCACCUGCCCCAACCUACGACCUACCAAUGUACUUCCCUUACCCUCUCCCCCUCCAAUGUCCUCUAUUUCCCGAUCUGCCUCUACCCCCGUCCUAGCAAUGUACUUCCCUGAACCUCUCCUCCUCCAUUUCUCCGACUGCCCCUACCUCCGACCUACCAAUGUACUUCCCUUCACCUCCCCACCUCCGAUGUCCUCAAUUUCCCCACCUGCCCCUACCUCCGACCCACCAAUGUACUUCCCUUCACCUAUCCUCCAUGUCCCAACCUGCCCCUAGCCCCGGCCUACGAGUGUACUUCCCUUCACCUCUCCUCCUCCAAUGUCCCCAAUUUCCCCACCUGCCCCUACUCCCGUCCUAACAAUGUACUUCCCUUCACCUCUCCUCCUCCAUUUCCCCGUCUGCCCCUACCUCCGUCCUACCAAUGUAACCCCCCUCACCUGUCCUCCUCUUAUAAUCCCCAUUUCCCCCACCUGCCCCUACCUCCGUCCUACCAAUGGACUUCCCUUUACCCCUCCUCCUCUAUUUCUUUCUCACUUUGAAUACUCCUGUUGAGCAACUUUGCCUUGGCGCGAUUUUUAUUUCUGUACUAACCAUUGUUGCCAGGGGAAGGUUAAAGAAUUAUGUUACAGUGACUUAGUUGGCUUCCCUUCUAUUGAAUUAUUGUGCAUAAGAUAAGGAUUUCCGGGUGACUCCUGUUUGAGUCCUGUAGUAGCCAUUGUGGCAGUUCCAAUCUUGAACACACCCUAAAUCUGAGAGAAAAUAAUAUGUUCAUGUAAUUUGCUUAUUAAUAACUAUAUACAAUGGUAAUGAAUUGCCUAAACCUUAACAGAUGUAGUGUCAGGGUAUUUUCUUUUAACAUUGUAAAGGGGUCACAGGUGGCCCACAAGUAACUCACUCACUCACUCUCAUUGCAAACAUGAAGUAUUUUUUUAUGAUUCAUUCAAGCGAUCAUAAAAUCCUCAUUCAAGCACGGUAACUCUUUUUAAGUAGCAAACUGUACUAGAGUAGCUUCCCUUGGAAUGACCUUCGCAUUUCACAACGUUUCUUCUCCAUGUUCAACCCUGUAUAGAUGGCUGCCAAGUGUUGAUGUAGAUCUAACUUUAUUCACAAUGUAAGGCAGACGGAAGUGCCGAGUUGUGCAUAAAGUCGACGCAUGCGUGGUUUUGCCUAGAGUAGCGGCGUCAUGACAACAGCUAGCCCUUCCUGUGUGUCAGCCAUUUUGAGAGCUAUCACUGGAAGUGUUCUCAGUUUUAUUGUGCAAAAUACGACUCUAAAAGUGUGUACGACUUGAAGAGGUGGAGAAAACUAUGAAUCCCACUACGACAGUGCCUGUGACCCGCUUGCUCCCCGGGCUGCCAACAGUGGUGUUGGGAGAUGGGACCAGAUGUCUGAUAGAUAACAACACUAUCUGGAUACCUGCUGGUAAUCCUGUUAACCUCUCCCUGGAUGCUGGUUACCUACAGCCAAGACUCCUUCAGCCUGGAGGUCAGUCAUCUGUGACUGCUAUCCCCUUGCCUCCUGCAGUCCAGCCACCAUCUUGCAAUAGACGUAGGGAGAUGAUGCCUGUCUGCCAGCUGCCUGUCAGCCUGCCCAGUGCAGUGCUAGACCUGGAGCUGAUAAGACCAGAGGAAAAAGAAGAAACCCACAUCUGAGCCCAGCAAGGAGCCCCUGCCUUCACGCAAGAGGAAGUGCCCAGAUGACAACAGCGAGGUGUCCCAAGCUGUAAAGCAGGCGAGACUGGAGGAGCCCCAGGACACUCUUGAGGACCUGGAAGCUCUCCUGGCUGAGUACAGCUCCAGUCUCUCAUCUGGCACCAGGGACUUUUUCUAAACAGUGUAAGGGGCAGGGAACAGGUAGGUAUAGAUUGGAAUAUAGUUAGGUUGAGGUUUAUACAUGGUUUUCAUGUCUUUCGCUAACAGUCAUUGUUUUUGUACUACUUUGUACUGUUGUGCUCUACACUACCAUCUACUGUGCUACACUUCUGUGCUAUGUACUAUCCUACACUAGUCUGCUAUGUACUAUCUGACACUACUCUACCGUGCACUGUCACACACAACUCCUAUGCUACUCUACUAUGUACUGUACUACCUUACCCUACCAUGUACUGGCCUAAUCUACACUACCAUGUAAUGUGAUACACUACUCGAGUCAGUCUACUAUGUACUUUCAUAUACUACUCUGCUACAUACUUUCCUACACUACUCUGGGGCAGUCGGGUAGCCUAGUGGUUAAAGCUUUUGCUUGUGACACCGAAAACGUGGGUUUGAAUCCUGACAUGGGUACAGUGUCUGAAGCCAAUUUCUGGUUGUCUCCCGCCGUGAUAUUGCUGGAAUAUUUCUGAAAGCUCCGGAAAACCAUACACACUCACUCACUCACUCCUACUCUACCGUGCACUGUCAUUCUCUUCUUUACUUUGUACUGUCCUAAACCACCCAACCAUGUACUGACGUACUCUGCCCUCUUCUGUACUAUCCUAUUCUAUCCUACACUAUUCUACUGUAAUACGCUACUACCCUACUCUAUACUUACCUAAUCUAUCCUACUAUCUUUCCUGUCUGGAUACUCUCCUACACUGCACUGUAUUGGCCUACACUAACCUACUCUCUACUGACCUACACUAUCCUCUCAGUUACUGUCCAACACUACCCUACUGUGUACUGCCAAACAUAUAUGCACUCUCCAGUCAUUCACUAUCCUAACUGACCUACACUAGCCUAAAUACAGUCCUACACUACACUAUCCUAUCUUACUCUAUCUUACUAUCUUACUAUCUCCUGUCUUGUACUAUUUGCUAUCUUAAUUUUCUUAUCUCUAUUAUCCUACUCUUUCCUGCCUUGUACUAUCUACUAUCUUAUUGUUGUCUCUCCUAUCCUACUCUCCCCUGCCUUGUACUGUCUGCUAUUUAAUUUUUUCCCCUACUAUCAUCCUCUUUCCUUCCUUCUACUAUCUCAAUAUCCUCUCUACUAUUCCAUUCCCUCCACCUUCGUACUAUCUACGAGUUACUUUCUACCUCUACUAUCCUACUCUCUCCUGUGUGCUGUCUUAUAUUUAAUUUUAUUCUCUCUACCACCAUGACUAUCAUCCUCUUUCCUUCCUCGUACUACCUACUAUCGUAGGGACCUCUCUACUAUCCCAUUCUUUCCACCUUUGUACUAUCUACCAUCUACUAUCAGUAUCUACCUCUACUAUCCUCUUCCCUGUCUUGUACUAUCUACUAUCUUAUUGUUUCUCCUAACCUACUCUCCCCUGACUUGUACUGUCUGCUAUUUCAUUUUCUUUUCUCUACUAUCAUACUCUUUCCUUCCUUCUGCUACCUACUAUCUUAAUGUCCUCUCUACUAUCCCAUUCUCUCCACCUUUGUACUAUCUACCAUCUACUAUCUACCUCUACUUUCCUGCCUUGUACUAUCUAAUAUCUUAAUGCUGUCUCUGAUAUCCUUCUCUUCCUGUUUUGUACGAUGUACUGUCUUACUGUUCUACUCUCUACUAUCCUAGUCUCUCCAGUGUUGUAUUUUGAACCAUCUAUAUGUUUCCCCUACUAUCCUACUCUUUCCUGUCUUGUACUAGCUAUUAUCUUAAUGUUCCCUCUACUAAACUACAGUUUCCUGUCUUGUACUAUCUAAUAUCUUAAUGUUGUCUCUGAUAUCCUUCUCUUCCUGUUUUGUACGAUGUACUGUCUUACUGUUCUACUCUCUACUAUCCUAGUCUCUCCAGCGUUGUGUUUUGAACCAUUUAUAUGUUUCCCCUACUAUCCUACUCUUCCCUGUCUUGUACUAGCUAUUAUCUUAAUGUUGUCUCAACUAUCCUACUCUUUCCUGUCUUGUACUAGCUAUUAUCUUAAUGUUCCCUCUACUAAACAACAGUUUCCUGACUUGUAUUAUCUCUUAUCUUAAUGUUGUCUCUACUAUCCUACUCUUUCCUGUUUUUUUCACUGUGAAUUAUCUAAAUAUUCACUCUACUAUCAAGUAAUGAAAAAUAUACAGUGGAAACAUGUCACUGUACAGUUUUGUAAGUGUAUGUGAGGUGUGGAAAGGGGCGGCUGUGAGGGGAGGUUGGAGGCCGUUUAUUUAGUAUGUAACUGAAAAACAUGUGUUUGUUUCUAACUUAUGUCUACAAUGGUUUCAUAAUAAAAUAUCACUUUGCAGUCUUA
rnacentral:lncRNA from 1 species